CGGUGGUUUGGUCCUUUCUCCCGGCGACAUGCACGGAAACACAUGGCAGGAGGGACGUUUUGGAAGCUGUUUGAUCCCAUGGAAGCUCAAUGUCCUCCAAAUUCGCCUCUCUCCUUAACAAAGUGGGUUAAGCGUUGACCCCCAAAGGCGCUAGAGGAACUCACUUUGAGGCAGGAUGUAGUCAGCGCCUGCAUGGUGAUUGUGUCCAUGAUGUCCAAGAAGGAGCGGAGCAAAUUAUUGACAGUUUGCCUAGAAGUGGGUGCGACUGAGAAUGAGGACUCUCUGGAUUGGAGGCGUGUUUAGCAGACUGAAGAUGUGGAAUCCGUCUAGACAAAGAUCCAGUCCUGAUUUCAGAUGGUGCUGAAGUUAAUUUAAUGGCUCAGCAAAGAUGAAAGUGCUGUUGAUUGUCCUGCUGACGCCCGGGCUCCAGGUCUGUCUAAUGGUCUCCCCAUGCAAAAUGAAGGCUGAACCUGGAUUGUCAUCCUUGCCAUGAAGCAGUGUUUCAGGAAAUGAAAGAAAUGAGACUGAGGCCGCUUGAGGGGAUACAGCUGAUGUGUCUUGGAGGGACUGUCAGUCCUCAAAACCUAAUGAGGAAUCACAUAAAGCAAUAUAGACUUAUGGAAUUGUCGUACCUAUAGUUAAGGUGCUUUUAAACUGCAAAUCCAUUCAUUUGUAUUUGUUCAAUAAACUCAGUAAUCUGAA